rnacentral:SRP_RNA from 1 species
UUGGUUCUCCCGCAACACUAACUUGUGAACUCGGUCAGGUCCGGAAGGAAGCAGCCGCAGCAGGCGACGUGUGUGCCGGGAUGUAGCUGG